UUGAAAGGGAAACGAUUGAAGUCAGUCGUACCAGCGGGAAAUCAACCUUUCGACUUGGGGGUUUUGGAGUUUUUUGAAGAGUGUCAAAACCUUUGAGAUUUCAAAAUAUUCGCUCUUUUGGUGUACUUUCUCGUGGGUAGGUUAACAUCGAUUUUGAUCAUCAUAAAAAGAUUGGAGGAAUGUAGCUUCGAUCUUGUAUUGAAGUGUUAUAGCCUUUGGUAAAUGUGAUGAUUAGGAUCGAGGAUUGCAACGAAUACCCUUUUGGGCUAUCCGCCUGAUCUCUGAUACGUGGCCUUGGUAUCGAAAGCGUGCUUAUGGUAUUGAGGUAUUACGGUCAAAAGGUUAGAACGGAUUACAUUCGUUAAGGAUGUUGACGUA
rnacentral:rRNA from 1 species